rnacentral:lncRNA from 1 species
CAACAACGUGAAGCUUCAAGGCACGAAAGUCUCAGCCUCCGGCGUCAGCCCCAACACCGACGGAAUCCACGUCCAGAUGUCAUCCCAUGUCACCAUCCUCUCCUCCACCAUCGCCACCGGCGACGACUGCGUCUCCAUCGGCCCCGGCACUUCCACUCUCUGGAUCGAAAACAUGGCUUGUGGCCCCGGCCACGGCAUAAGCGUCGGGAGUCUCGGAAAAUACUCUAACGAGCCCGGCGUACAAAACGUGACGGUUAAAAGUGUCAGCUUUACU